AGAGUUUGAUUCUGGCUCAGGAUGAACGCUAGCGAUAGGCCUAACACAUGCAAGUCGAGGGGCAGCACAUGACGUAGCAAUACAGAUGGUGGCGACCGGCGCACGGGUGAGUAACACGUAUGCAACCUACCUUCCACAGGGCGAUAACCCGUUGAAAAACGGACUAAUAGUCCAUAAUACAGGGAUCCCGCAUGGGAAUAUUUGUUAAAGAUUUUUUCGGUAGAGGAUGGGCAUGCGCUCCAUUAGCUAGUUGGUUGAGGUAACGGCUCACCAAGGCAACGAUGGAUAGGGGAACUGAGAGGUUUAUCCCCCACACUGGUACUGAGACACGGACCAGACUCCUACGGGAGGCAGCAGUGAGGAAUAUUGGUCAAUGGAGGCAACUCUGAACCAGCCACGUCGCGUGAAGGAUGACGGCCCUAUGGGUUGUAAACUUCUUUUAUACAGGAAUAAAGUGAGUCACGUGUGAUUUUUUGCAUGUACUGUAUGAAUAAGGACCGGCUAACUCCGUGCCAGCAGCCGCGGUAAUACGGAGGAUCCGAGCGUUAUCCGGAUUUAUUGGGUUUAAAGGGUGCGCAGGCGGAAGAUUAAGUCGGCGGUGAAAUUUUGCAGCUCAACUGUAAAAGUGCCAUCGAUACUGGUUUUCUUGAGUGUGGAUGAAGUAGGCGGAAUUUGUGGUGUAGCGGUGAAAUGCAUAGAUAUCACGAGGAACUCCGAUUGCGCAGGCAGCUUACUAGGCCAUAACUGACGCUCAGGCACGAAGGCGUGGGGAUCAAACAGGAUUAGAUACCCUGGUAGUCCACGCAGUAAACUAUGAUUACUCGCUGUUGGCGAUACACAGUCAGUGGCUUAGCGAAAGCAUUAAGUAAUCCACCUGGGGAGUACGUUCGCAAGAAUGAAACUCAAAGGAAUAGACGGGGGCCCGCACAAGCGGAGGAACAUGUGGUUUAAUUCGAUGCAACGCGAAGAACCUUCCCAGGUCUUGACAGUGUAAAGAAUACUUAAGAGAUUAAG
rnacentral:rRNA from 1 species